GUGGCCUCUGCCUGGUCCGUGUGGGCGGCCGGCCCCUGGCCCAGGGCAGCGACCACCUGCAGGGAGCAGAAGAGCAACACGGCCAGCGGCAGGUAGACGCCCUGGGAGAGCUGGCAGAACAGCGUGUCCUCGGUUCUCUGCUUCAGGGAAUACAGGAAGAAGGGCAGGGCGCAGAGCAGGCAGAGGUCGGCCACGGCCAGGUUGGCCAUGUAGAUGUGCGUCUCCGUCCACCGCCGCAGGCGGCAGCAGAACACCCACAGCGCCAGGCCGUUGAGCAGCAGCCCCAGCGCCAGCAGCAGGCCCACGUAGGCGUCCACGAUGUUCUUGACCCAGUAGGGCCAGGGCGGCCCUGCCAGCAACCAAAGCGUUAUGAGCCUUCACCAUGGUUUCCGCUCUCCGCGCCCCUGACGAGGGGCUCUCCUUUUUUUGUUGGUUUUAAGGAGUCUG